UACUCCCUCCGUCCCAGAAAAAGGCAACCUAGUACUAGGAUAUGACACAUCCUAGUACUAGGUUCCCUUUUUUUGGGACGGAUGGAGUAU
rfam:Oryza meridionalis cultivar OR44 (W2112) chromosome 3, whole genome shotgun sequence.